GGGGUCGACUCUGGGAGGGGAGUCGGGCUGGGGGUCAGAGCAGGGGGCUGGGUGCCCGAGUUCCUGGGGUCGGCUCUGGGGGGUAGUGGGGGCCAUGGCCUGAGCUGGUUCUGGAGCUGGAGCGCACUGACGUCUGUAUCUUGGUUCUGAGCAGGGCGCUGGUAGAGAAGCACCUUGCUGCCUGUGUCAACAUCGUGCCUCAGGUCACGUCCAUGUGAGUGCAGGAGCAAAGGCCUCGUGCUGGACUUGGAUGGGGGGUGGUGGGGGAGCCCCCUGGCCUCCCCAACUGGGGCAGGUGCUCCCUCUGCCUCCCUCUCACCCGCUCCCUCUGCCUCCCUCUCACCUACUCCCUCUGCUGCUGCUUUCAGAUGCCAGUGGAAGGGGAAGAUUGAAGAGUACGGGGAGGUGCUGGUGAUGAUCAAAACCCGGAGUUCCCGGAUCCCAGCACUGACCGACUUUGUCCGGUCGGUGCACCCCUACGAAGUGGCCGAAGUGAUUGCACUGCCCAUCCAGCAGGGAAAUGCGCCCUACCUGCAGUGGGUUGGGGAGACGGUGCCGGAGUGAGACCCCGCAGCAACGCGCCUCGCCCCACGCAUGCUGUAGCCAAUAAAGUGCCCCGGAGCAUCA